rnacentral:rRNA from 1 species
AUUGAACGCUGGCGGAAUGCUUUACACAUGCAAGUCGAACGGCAGCACGGGGGCAACACUGGUGGCGAGUGGCGAACGGGUGAGUAAUACAUCGGAACGUGCCCAGUAGUGGGGGAUAACGUAGCGAAAGUUACGCUAAUACCGCAUACGAUCUACGGAUGAAAGCGGGGGAACGUAAGGCCUCGCGCCAUGGGAGCGGCCGAUGUCAGAUUAGGUAGUUGGUGAGGUAAAGGCUCACCAAGCCGACGAUCUGUAGCUGGUCUGAGAGGACGACCAGCCACACUGGGACUGAGACACGGCCCAGACUCCUACGGGAGGCAGCAGUGGGGAAUUUUGGACAAUGGGCGCAAGCCUGAUCCAGCCAUUCCGCGUGCAGGACGAAGGCCUUCGGGUUGUAAACUGCUUUUGUACGGAACGAAAAGGCUCUGGUUAAUACCUGGGGCUCAUGACGGUACCGUAAGAAUAUGCACCGGCUAACUACGUGCCAGCCGCCGCCGUAA